AUGGUCGUGCUAAAGCUAGAUUUCCGGAAAACCUUUGACACAGUCAGCUGGUAAUGUCUCUUCACUGUCAUGGAAGCACGGGGCUUCCCUCGGCGCUGGAUCCGCUGGAUCUCCUCCUUGGUAUCGACUGCCAGCUCCAAGGUUUUGAUUAAUGGGCAGCUAGGGGAAUCCUUUUGUGCGAAGAAGGGUUUAAGGCAUGGCGAUUCCACGUCACCCUACUUGUUCAUCUUGGUUGCUGAUGUGCUUCAAAGGCUUUGUUGUCAACAAUUCGAAGCUGGAAACUUGGUUCACCCGCUUGGUUCUGAUCGGCUUUUCCCAGUCCUGCAAUAUGCGGAUGACAUGCUACUGCUUUUCUGUCACGACCGGCUUUCCAAUAAAAAUAUUUAUUGA
rnacentral:rRNA from 1 species